GGUUGGGCGGUGCUCAAGAAAGCUUUCUCGGGGAGGAAAGC
rnacentral:ncRNA from 2 species